AUGAAUACAGGGCUUGACACCAUAAGAACAGUGCUUCUCAAAAGCUAUGAUGGUUUACCCUAUCAUCUCAAGGCUUGUUUCUUGUAUCUGGCAAUAUUUCAUGAAGGCUACAAGAUAAGUCUAACACGUUUGGUGCGGCGUUGGAUCGCCGAGGGCUACUCAAGACCGGUGCGCGGCAAGUCUUCCUCUGAAAUAGCAGAAAGCUACUUCAUGGACCUCAUAAGCAGGAGCAUGAUCCUGCCAUCCCGGAGUUCAAGCCAUAGUAGAAAAGUGGUUGACUCUUGCCAACUCCAUGAUGUUAUUCGAGAAAUUGGCAUCUCAAAGUCAAUGGAGGAAAAUCUUGUUUUCAGAUUGGAGGAAGGUUGUACCUUAAACAGCCAGGGCACAAUACGUCACCUCUCUGUAAGCAAUAACUGGAAAGGAGAUGAGAGUGAAUUUGAGAGUACAAUUGACUUGUCUCGAGUCAGAUCCAUAACAAUUUUUGGGAAGUGGAGGCCAUUCUUCAUUUCUGACAAGAUGAGGUUGCUUCGGGUGCUGGACUUGGAAAGCACUUCAGGUCUGGUUGAUCAUCAUCUUGAGCACAUUGGGAAGCUUUUCCACCUGAGAUACCUUUCCCUGAGAGGAUGUCAUGGAAUUUAUCACCUGCCAGGUUCUUUGGGUAACCUGAGGCAGCUCCAAACACUAGAUGUCACAGGCACAAACAUAAUCAAGCUGCCAAAGAACAUCAUCAAGCUCAGGAAGCUACAGCACGUUCAUGCCAGGGGCGUCGGGAACAACGAUGAACAUGUCUACCAAGAGUAUCCAAAUGAGGUCCCGAAGCUGACAAGGAACAAGCUAUGCAUCCUGACCUGCUCCUCGUAGGGGUUCUGCGUGGCAUGCUGCGCGCCACACCUCCUGAAGGGUUGCAUGGGCAUUGACGGGGACACAAACAGGCGCGAUGUCUGCACUGCAUGCUGUUGCUCCUUUCUGCCGAUGCUGGCGACACGUCGGUGCUCACGCGGCGUUGAGAUGCCCAGAGGGAUCCACAGGUUCAAAGCCUUGCAGACACUGGGUGUCGUGAACGUCUCAAGGAGGAAGGCCACCCUGCGAGAGGUAGCUAGUCUCACCGGGCUGCGCAAGCUGGGAGUGACUGGCGUGGACAAGAGCAACGGCGGAGAGCUAUGUUCAGCACUGUCUAACCUCAGCAGCCUAGAGACGUUGCUGGUGCAGUCGGAGGGUAAGCCGGGUUUAUCUGGCUGCUUGGAUGGCCUCUCCUCACCUCCAGAAAACCUAGGGAGUCUGAAGCUUUAUGGCAACCUGGUCAAAUUGCCGUCAUGGAUCAACGGUGGGCUAAAAAAUCUGGCCAAGCUCAAGCUGCGGAGUUCCAGGAUAGAGAAACAUGAUGACGCCAUACAGAUCCUUGGGAGUCUACCGAACCUAGCCAUCCUGCGUCUACGAAAAGAGUCGUUCUAGGGCAAAGAGGUCCAUCUUCAUUUCCAGCAGGGCGCAUUCCAGACCCUAAUGGUGCUGGAGCUGAGUUCCCCAGGUAAUCUCAAAUCUGUGCGUUUUGACAAGGGAGCAGCCCCUAAGCUUGAGCUGCUGCAGUAUUACGAUCAGCCCGGGGAAGAAGUCGUUUCGGAAGAAAAUGGUGAUCAGUUUGAAGAAGCCCCCGGUGUUUCAUUUUCUGGGCUAGCAUUUCUGGGAAGCCUCAAAGAAGUACUGCUCGAGGGUGGCAACUACAAGGGCGAUUUCGUGCAAAACUUGCGCUCCCAACUUGAGUUGAAUCCGAAACGGCCUGUUCUCAAGAUGGACUAA
rnacentral:rRNA from 1 species